UGCUGAAUACAACAGGUGUAGUAGACCUUACAGUGAAAUGCUGAAUACAACAGGUGUAGUAGACCUCACAGUGAAAUGCUGAAUACAACAGGUGUAGUAGACCUUACAGUGAAAUGCUGAAUACAACAGGUGUAGUAGACCUUACAGUGAAAUGCUGAAUACAACAGGUGUAGUAGACCUUACAGUGAAAUGCUGAAUACAACAGGUGUAGUUGACCUUACAGUGAAAUGCUGAAUACAACAGGUGUAGUAGACCUUACAGUGAAAUGCUGAAUACAACAGGUGUAGUAGACCUCACAGUGAAAUGCUGAAUACAACAGGUGUAGUAGACCUUACAGUGAAAUGCUGAAUACAACAGGUGUAGUUGACCUUACAGUGAAAUGCUGAAUACAACAGGUGUAGUAGACCUUACAGUGAAAUGCUGAAUACAACAGGUGUAGUUGACCUUACAGUGAAAUGCUGAAUACAACAGGUGUAGUUGACC